GCGGCAUUUUAGGGGUGUGAAUUUGACGCUCGCGUUGUACACUUUGCAGGCAGCUCAGCUGUUUAUGGGCGGUAAAUAUUGACGCGAAAAGUAAAUCAAGGCAAAGACGGACAUAUGGUUUAAAAUCGAAAACUAAAACGAGCAGCGAAAACAGUUUCUACCACUUAUGUUGACAAUAUGCAAAUGACACAACAAGUCGGCAGCGACUGAUUUCAAACUUCAAAACGGAUUCGCUGCGACGAGUGCAACGUCACGAAGCGAACAGAAACGAGUGCCGAACGAGUAUGAGAACUGGCUCAGGACACGGACCCGGACACUGAGCGCCUGGACCUCAACCUGAGACUCCCGCUGCGUCUGCUACGAGCUGCGUUCGUUGCGAAACUGUUUUGGUUUCAUUUUUUUCCCUCAGCCUUUAGUGGUUCGCAGCUGACUUCCUGCGCACAAGUUCGAGUUGCAUCCGAGCGUGGCAACUCUGUUCGUAUCGGGUUUGGGUCGGCUCGGUGGGGUGGUAAACACAACAUGCGUGCAGUAAAUAUACCAACGCUAGUUGCUGCGUUUGGGGCACGGCAAAGAUGACCUUCCUGACAAACGGCAGGAAGAAUCAAUUACACUGGAGAGCUGCAUCUUCUGGCAGGCCGGAGACCGACAACAACAGAUGGGCACAGUUGAGAUCAUUAACUUUCUCAAAUUACGCCAGACAGCUCAGCACCACUAUCUUUUUAUAAGCAGAACAAGUUUUUCUUUCUUCCCC